CCCGGCCCCCAGCCGCAGCGCAUCCUCAGCGCAGGGAGGACCCGACGUUUGGGGUCCCCAAGGGGAUACUACCACCGAGGGAUGAGCUGCGGGGCUGGGAGCCGAGGGGUGGAUAAAUCCCUUCCUGGCGAGUCCGAGCCCUGGAAAAUCUUGUGAAUCUAACGCUAGCCCUUCUGGCAGUUACCGGAGCAAUUCCUGUUUCUCUCCAGCCGCACUCUGUAAAGUUUUAUAGUUUCCUGGUUGGGGCUGCGAGGCCCCAGCCGUGCCGAGGAGGGUGGCGGGGGGAACGCAGGAAGCAGGGGGCCAGGUGGGGCGGCCCCGCUAUGCUCAGCCGUGAGCACCGUGUCCCCAUGUCCCCUGCUCCGAUGGCAAUGGGGCUGUGCCAACUGCCACCCGCCGUCCCAGCUGGUGGAGACGUCACAAAGCCAGCAGCCUCCCAGUCACUGGGUUUGCCAUUCUGGCCUUGUUGGUAUAGGCG
rnacentral:lncRNA from 1 species